GACGAACGCUGGCGGCGUGCCUAAUACAUGCAAGUCGAACGCAGUGGGGACGGGUGAGUAACACGUGGGUAACCUCCCAUCAGAGGGGAUAACACUUGGAAACAGGUGCUAAACCGAUACUGAUGGAUGGACCCGAGGUGCAUUAGCUAGUUGGUAAGGUAACGGCUCACCAAGGCAACGAUGCAUAGCCGGCCUGAGAGGGGGAUCGGCCACACUGGGACUGAGACACGGCCCAGACUCCUACGGGAGGCAGCAGUGGGGAAUCUUCGGCAAUGGGCGAAAGUCUGACCGAGCAACGCCGCGUGAAUGAAGAAGGUUUUCGGAUCGUAAAGCUCUUUUGGUAGAGAAGCGUUAUCUAACCAGGAAGCCACGGCUAACUACGUGCCAGCAGCCGCGGUAAUAC
rnacentral:rRNA from 1 species